rnacentral:rRNA from 1 species
GACGCACGCUGGCGGCGGGCUUAAAACAUGCAAGUCGAGCGGAGCGGCGAACGGGAGAGUAACGCGUGAGUAACUGCCCCCCUCUCUGGGAUAACAGUUGGAAACGGCUUCUAAUACCGGAUAGUGGGGGAUGACUCGCGUCCUAUCAGCUUGUUGGUGGGGUAUUGGCCUACCAAGGCGACGUAGGGUAGCCCGCCUGAGAUGGCGACCGGCCACAUUUGGCUGAGGUACGGCCUCAGCUCCUCCGGGAGGAAUCAGUGGGUAAUCUUGCACGAUGGGGGAAACCCUGGUGCAGCAAUCCGCGGGCGGGAUGACGGCUUUCGUGUUGUAAACCGCGUUCAGCUAUUACGCGGGUGUGGCAGAAGAUGCACCGGCUCACUACGUGCCAGCCGCCGCGGUAAUAC